rnacentral:rRNA from 1 species
UACAGAGGGUGCGAGCGUUAAUCGGAAUUACUGGGCGUAAAGCGCGCGUAGGCGGCUUUUCAAGUCGAUUGUGAAAUCCCCGGGCUUAACCUGGGAACUGCAGUCGAGACUGUCUAGCUAGAGUAUGGGAGAGGGAAGUGGAAUUUCAGGUGUAGCGGUGAAAUGCGUAGAUAUCUGAAGGAACAUCAGUGGCGAAAGCGACUUCCUAGACCAAUACUGACGCUCAUGUGCGAAAGCGUGGGGAGCAAACAGGGAUUGA